rnacentral:lncRNA from 1 species
AAAAAAAUCUAUUUUUUGCUAUAUCUCACCAACUUCAAAAGCAGUUAUUUGCCUUAGCUGAGACAGAACCAACAAAAGUGCUGACGAAUAACCACAGCUCACACUGUCAGUGUAACAAAGCUCCAAACACUUCUGCAGUCACUGUAAGGAGGAAGUUUCCAGCUGGUCUGUAUCGAAUAUUCAAGGAAUUUCUGAAUGUUAUAUUUAUUUGGAGCCAAAUUGGUAUGCUAUACUGUGUCAGAGAGUUACUGUCUGCGUGCACAGCUGAUGGACUAUGUCAGCUAAUGAGAAGCAGCAAGUGUAGACAACACCUACAUCUGAAAAUAUGGUCAUAAUUUUGAUCAGUAUGGCUGGCGAUAAGACUUUAUAUAAAACAACUUUUAGCAUGUCACACAGGAAGCAAAAACCUGUGAGUGUUCAUUAACUUGUUUAAUUUUCCACUUUUAUAAGAAAAUAAUGCUAUCAAUUU